AUACCGGCGGCUCGAGUGGUGGCCACUAUUACUGGGCUUAAAGCGUCCGUAGCUUGGUUGUUAAGUCUCUUGGGAAAUCUGUCGGCUUAACCGACAGGCGUUUAAGGGAUACUGGCAAUCUAGGGACCGGGAGAGGUGAGAGGUACUCCAGGGGUAGGAGUGAAAUCCUGUAAUCCUUGGGGGACCACCUGUGGCGUAGGCGUCUCACCAGAACGGCUCCGACAGUGAGGGACGAAAGCUGGGGGAGC
rnacentral:rRNA from 1 species